rnacentral:misc_RNA from 1 species
GAUGAAGAACGUAGCGAAAUGCGAUACUUGGUGUGAAUUGCAGAAUCCCGUGAACCAUCGAGUCUUUGAACGCAAGUUGCGCCCGAAGCCAUUAGGCCGAGGGCACGCCUGCCUGGGCGUCACACGUCGUUGCCCCCCCAUCUACUCCUUCGGGAUUGCGGGGGGCGGAUGAUGGCCUCUCGUGCGCCUCGUCGCGCGGUUGGCCUAAAUGCCAAGUCCUCGGCGACGCACGCCACGACAAUCAGUGGUUGCGAAACCUCGGUUGCCUGUCGUGUGCGGUCGUCGCGCAUCGAGGGCUCGAAAAAAUUGCCGGGCUUCGGCUCGACUUUCAACGCGACCCCAGGUCAGGCGGGGUUACCCGCUGAAUUUAAGCAUAUCAAUAAGCGGAGGA